rnacentral:snoRNA from 1 species
UGCGAAUGAUGACCUAGCUUUAUUAAAUACAGUUAUCCCUGUCUGAAUUCUUUUCAAGAUAAUGUGUAGAUACCGUCUAACUUCUGACCUUGCA